UACGUAGGGGGCAAGCGUUGUCCGGAUUUACUGGGCGUAAAGAGCGUGUAGGCGGCCGAACAGGUCCGGUGUGAAAACUGGAGGCUCAACCUCCAGACGUCGACGGAAACCGUAUGGCUAGAGUCCGGAAGAGGAGAGUGGAAUUCCUGGUGUAGCGGUGAAAUGCGCAGAUAUCAGGAAGAACACCUAUGGCGAAGGCAGCUCUCUGGGACGGUACUGACGCUGAGACGCGAAAGCGUGGGGAGCGAACAGG
rnacentral:rRNA from 1 species